rnacentral:rRNA from 1 species
UACUAUAGCUUGACACUGAACAUUGAGCCUUGAUGUGUAGGAUAGGUGGGAGGCUUUGAAGUGUGGACGCCAGUCUGCAUGGAGCCGACCUUGAAAUACCACCCUUUAAUGUUUGAUGUUCUAACGUUGACCCGUGAUCCGGGUUGCGGACAGUGUCUGGUGGGUAGUUUGACUGGGGCGGUCUCCUCCUAAAGAGUAACGGAGGAGCACGAAGGUUGGCUAAUCCUGGUCGGACAUCAGGAGGUUAGUGCAAUG